AAAAAUAAUUUUUUUUUAUUAAAUUUAUUUUAAAAUUUAAGUAUAUUAUAAAAUUUUAAAUAAUUAAAAAUUAAUAUAAAAUAAUAUUUAAAAUGAUAAAAAUUAAUGAAAAUUAAUUAUAGAAUAUUUUUAAAAUUAUUAAUAAAUUUUAGUGCCAGCAAUUGCGGUUAAACUAAUGAUAAAAAUAAAUUAAUUAAAUAAUUUUAUUAAAAAAUAUUUAUUUUAAAUUUAGAAAAUUUAUAAUUUAAGGUGAAAUAAUAAUUAUAAAUUAAAUUUUUUUUUUAAAAUGUUAAUUAUAAUAAAUUUAAUUAUAAAGUAGGAUUAGAUACCCUAUUAUUUUAAUUUAAAAUAAUAAAAUUAAAUAUUAAAUGUAUAAUCAUUAAAAUUAAAAAAUUUGGCGGUAUUUUAUUAUAUUAGAGGAACUUGAAAUUUAAUUUGAUAAUCCACGAAUGGAAUUACCUAAUUUUAAUUUUAUAUAUUGUUGUUGAUAAAAUUAUUUUAGGAAAAUAUAAUUUUAAUUUAAUUAUUAUAAAGUAAGUCAAAUCAAAAUGUAGAUUAAUUAGGAAUAUUUUGAGUUACAGUUAAUUAAAUUAUAUAUAAUUAAAUUUUUUAAAUUAAUUAAUUUUAUAUUGGAUUUAAUUGUAAAUAUUUAAAAAUUUAAAUAUUGAGAGUUAAUUAAAAUAUGUACAAAUUGUCCGUCAUUUUCAUUUUAUAUAUUUAUAAAUUAAUAAUGAUAAAAGUCGUAACAAAGUAAAUAUACUGGAAAGUGUAUUUAGAUUUUA
rnacentral:ncRNA from 1 species